rnacentral:lncRNA from 1 species
GAAAUUCACAGACAACUUUAACGCGUGAAACCUGACGGUGACAGGGCCCUUUAGGUCUACACUUCCCUGUCGUGAGCUGAGGAGGAAGUUUCUAGUGAUUUGCACAUACAAGGCAGGCAGAAGUUUGUACUCUAGAAGCUCUAUCAAAACAAAUGAACUCUGAUUCAGAAUCUUAAUUUACUUCCAGUCCAGAGCCACAAGGGCAGACCUGAGUGACAAGUCUUAUCUUCACUGGUAGAUGCGGGGGGCGGGGGGUACAGUUAAGGCAAGGAAUGACGAGAUCUGAAUCAUGUUUGGAAAACCCCCACACAUAUGGUGAAGGAGAGAAGAGGCUGGCCCAGAGGAAGUUAGUGGUGCUUAUUAAACACCCACAGACUGACUGGCUAACCUUGGCUUAAGUGACUACAGUAACCUCGGAGCGUUUGUUGAGCGGGGACCACAGCCUGUCAGUCAAGCGCAGUUGGAUGGCUUGGUCUGAAAACGAGCCAGCCGGCCAGUGAGAUCCCAAAC